CACAUCGAUCUGCAUGACCUCGUAGGAGGCGCCAUCCGCACUGGAGAGAAGACACAGAGGAGAACAGCUUUCAGGGACUGAUGAGAUGAGCUAUGGGUCCUACAAAACUGUCCAUAGGAAACUGGAAUGUCACACAGAGUAAGGGACAAUUCUUCAUGAUAUGAAACCACUGCACAUGCUGCAGGACACCUGUCAACCCAGGCCCUGCCUAUCUAUAAUGGCCAACAGGAAACCCCGGUGAUGAUGACAGCCAGAGACACACCCCACAACCUCCAAAGAGAUGAUCACAGCCAGAGACAUACCCCACAACCUCCAAAGAGAAGCUGAACUUGCUUCAUGUCUAAGAUCCGUAGGAAUGCAAGAAUGGACUAAUACGCCGUGUGAGCUCUAGGACCAGGCAUCGCUGGGAUGCUCCUGUCCUAAGACGUGAUUUGACAGGCAUUAACUGAGGUCUUCUGGUGUGAAAGGAGCCACAAGUAUGCAAAGACAGGGCCAGCAUGGCUUUGAAUGAGAGGCAGGGCAGGGUUCAACAGGAGGGGGCCGAGAAUCCUUCAGCAGAGAACAAAUGAACCUCUUUCUCGGGGAACCACACACACAGAGAGAUGGGCUGUCAACAGAUGGGAUGAAUCUCUAGGAAGAUGCUGUGGUUUUGGGGAUUUAGGGUGGAAUUCGCACUAUGCCCAGUGGGAACGCUUGCCUGCUCACAAAAGAGCUGCAGUCCCGGAGGAAGCACGCAGCGAGAAGACAAGGAUCUUCAGCCUCUGAGACAACGAAUGGACUGUGCCACACCAUGCUGACAGGCACUGAAAACCAACUGCAUGGAGGACACCGGCUGAGCACAGGGUGGCCCAUUUGACGGAUGCGACUAGCAAGACCUGCACAAGACGACCCUCAGCCAAGGACAAAACAUGGUGCUGAAGCCUCAGUACAAUUGACGCCUUCAUUUGCUGGUGUAUAGAAUAAAGUGCUUAUUGUUUGUGGG
rnacentral:lncRNA from 10 species